GAGUUUGAUCAUGGCUCAGGAUGAACGCUAGCGGGAGGCUUAACACAUGCAAGUCGAGGGGUAACAGGUACUUCGGUACGCUGACGACCGGCGCACGGGUGCGUAACGCGUAUGCAACCUGCCUUGUACAGGGGGAUAGCCCAUGGAAACGUGGAUUAAUACCCCAUAGCACUAUUAUGUUGCAUGACAUAUUAGUUAAAGCAUUAGCGGUACAAGAUGGGCAUGCGUAGGAUUAGUUAGUAGGUAGUGUAACGGACUACCCAGGCGAUGAUCCUUAGGGGUCCUGAGAGGGUUCCCCCCCACACUGGUACUGAGACACGGACCAGACUCCUACGAGAGGCAGCAGUGAGGAAUAUUGGUCAAUGGGCGAGAGCCUGAACCAGCCAUCCCGCGUGCAGGAUGACGGCCCUAUGGGUUGUAAACUGCUUUUCCGCGCCAAGAAUGGUCCCGACGUGUCGGGGUUUGACGGUAGCGCGGGAAUAAGCACCGGCUAACUCCGUGCCAGCAGCCGCGGUAC
rnacentral:rRNA from 1 species